rnacentral:snRNA from 1 species
UAUACCAUAGCCAAUGAGGGUUAUCCGAGGCGUGGUUAUUGCUAGUUGAAAAAAUAUAUAUAU